GCAGGCUCGGGCCGCGUUCGGACGAUCUUUUGAUCUUGAUCUUAAAAAUCAAAGAUCGUCCGAACGCGGCCCGAGCCUAC
rnacentral:misc_RNA from 1 species